GUACUGAUGAUGAAUCCCAAACUAGGACGAAACAGCUUUCCAGUAC
rfam:Trichobilharzia regenti genome assembly, scaffold: TRE_scaffold0037538